GCGUCUGUAGCUUAGUGGAUAGAGCGUGUUGUUUCUAAGCAGAAAGUCGUGGGUUCAAACCUUAACUGACGCA
rfam:Spinacia oleracea cultivar SynViroflay scaffold65685.con0003.1, whole genome shotgun sequence.